UACGUAGGGUGCAAGCGUUGUCCGGAAUUAUUGGGCGUAAAGAGCUUGUAGGCGGUUUGUCGCGUCUGCUGUGAAAUUUCGGGGCUCAACCCCGAACUUGCAGUGGGUACGGGCAGACUAGAGUGUGGUAGGGGAGACUGGAAUUCCUGGUGUAGCGGUGAAAUGCGCAGAUAUCAGGAGGAACACCGGUGGCGAAGGCGGGUCUCUGGGCCGAAAUUGACGCUGAGGAGCGAAGGCGUGGGGAGCAAACAGG
rnacentral:rRNA from 1 species